GACGAACGCUGGCGGCGUGCUUAACACAUGCAAGUCGAACGGUAAGGCCCUUCGGGGUACACGAGUGGCGAACGGGUGAGUAACACGGGGGUGAUCUGCCCUGCACUUCGGGAUAAGCGUGGGAAACUGGGUCUAAUACCGGAUAGGACGCCGGACUGCAUGGCCUGGGGGGGAAAGCUUUUGCGGUGUGGGAUGGGCCCGCGGCCUAUCAGCUUGUUGGUGGGGUGAUGGCCUACCAAGGCGACGACGGGUAGCCGGCCUGAGAGGGUGACCGGCCACACUGGGACUGAGAUACGGCCCAGACUCCUACGGGAGGCAGCAGUGGGGAAUAUUGCACAAUGGGCGCAAGCCUGAUGCAGCGACGCCGCGUGAGGGAUGACGGCCUUCGGGUUGUAAACCUCUUUCAGCAUCGACGAAGCGAAAGUGACGGUAGGUGCAGAAGAAGGACCGGCCAACUACGUGCCAGCCGCCGCCGUAA
rnacentral:rRNA from 1 species